rnacentral:rRNA from 1 species
GAUCAUGGCGUCAGGAUGAACGCUGGCGGCAGGCUUAAUACAUGCAAGUUGAACGGUAACAUGUUGUAGCAAUACGAUGAGUGACGAGUGGCGCACGGGUGCGUAACACGUGUGUAACCUACCUUAUACAGGAACAUAACGUUGAGAAAUCGGCGCUAACAUUCCAUAAUAUUAUUUGUAGGCAUCUAUGAAUAAUUAAAACUCCGGUGGUAUAAGAUGGGCACGCGUUCCAUUAGCUAGUUGGUAAGGUAACGGCUUACCAAGGCAACGAUGGAUAGGGGUUCUGAGAGGAUAAUCCCCCACACUGGAACUGAGACACGGUCCAGACUCCUACGGGAGGCAGCAGUAAGGAAUAUUGGGCAAUGGAGGCAACUCUGACCCAGCCAUGCCGCGUGCAGGAAGACGGCCCUAUGGGUUGUAAACUGCUUUUAAUAGGGAUUAAAGUCGACUACGUGUAGUUGUUUGCAAGUACCCAUAGAAUAAGCAUCGGCUAACUCCGUGCCAGCCGCAGC